rnacentral:sRNA from 1 species
CUAAAGUCUUUUGUUUAUCCACAGAACAGGUACAGCAUGGGCAAGGGCACUUCAUGCUGCCUCAAACUGAUUUGCCAGGAUAACUUAACACCUCCGGGCCUCAGGGAAGAGUAAAGCUAGUAGUUCAG